GAUAAACGCUGGCGGCGCACAUAAGACAUGCAAGUCGAACGGAAGUCGUUGUAAUGAAAUAGAAACGGACAGAGAACUUGUUCGAAGAAAGUGGAAGUAGACUUACAACAAUGGCUUUAGUGGCGGACUGGUGAGUAACGCGUAAGGAACCUGCCUUCUAGAGGGGAAUAACAAUGAGAAAUCAUUGCUAAUACCGCAUAUGCCGAGAGAAUCACAUGGUACAAUCGGGAAAAGAGUAAUCUGCUAGAAGAUGGCCUUGCGUCUGAUUAGAUAGUUGGUGGGGUAACGGCCUACCAAGUCGACGAUCAGUAGCCGGACUGAGAGGUUGAACGGCCACAUUGGGACUGAGAUACGGCCCAGACUCCUACGGGAGGCAGCAGUCGGGAAUAUUGCGCAAUGGAGGAAACUCUGACGCAGUGACGCCGCGUAUAGGAAGAAGGUUUUCGGAUUGUAAACUAUUGUCGUUAGGGAAGAGAAAGGACAGUACCUAAGGAGGAAGCUCCGGCU
rnacentral:rRNA from 1 species